rnacentral:rRNA from 1 species
AGUGAACGCUGGCGGCAGGCCUAACACAUGCAAGUCGAGCGGCAGCGCGUCCGACCACCCUCGGGUGGUCGGAUGGCGGCGAGCGGCGGACGGGUGAGGAAUGCAUCGGAAUCUGCCUCGUUGUGGGGGGAUAACGUAGGGAAACUUACGCUAAUACCGCAUACGACCUACGGGUGAAAGUGGGGGACCUUCGGGCCUCACGCGAUGAGAUGAGCCGAUGCCGGAUUAGCUAGUUGGCGGGGUAAAGGCCCACCAAGGCGACGAUCCGUAGCUGGUCUGAGAGGAUGAUCAGCCACACUGGAACUGAGACACGGUCCAGACUCCUACGGGAGGCAGCAGUGGGGAAUAUUGGACAAUGGGCGAAAGCCUGAUCCAGCAAUGCCGCGUGAGUGAUGAAGGCCUUAGGGUUGUAAAGCUCUUUACCAGGGAUGAUAAUGACAGUACCUGGAGAAUAAGCUCCGGCUAACUCCGUGCCAGCAGCCG